rnacentral:rRNA from 1 species
UGAUGAGGGGCGUGGUUAGCUGCGAUAAGUUCUGGGUAGAGGCAUACUCUUUUUGAACCAGAAAUACCUUAAUAGGACUUCCUAUAUAUUCGUGUUAUACGAAGGCAUAACAGGGGGAACUGAAACAUCUAAGUACCCUUAGGAAAAGAAAUCAAAUUUGAGAUUCUGUGAGUAAGAGCGACUGAAAACAGAUACAGGUUAAACUGAAUCUUUUGUAGUGAUAUAAAAGAGAUGUGGUGUAUUGAACCAAUUUUAGAACAGAAAAUAAAAGAAGAAUUACUUGGAAAGGUGAACUUUAAAGGGUGAUAGUCCCGUAUUUUUUUGUUUUUUGUUUGUUUGGGUUUCAUGAGUAGCAUUUAUUGGAAAUUAAGUGUGAAUGUGGGGGUCAUUAACCUCCAAAUCUAAAUAUAGCACAAGUCCGAUAGUAAAUUAGUACCGUGAGGGAAUGUUGAAAAGUAGCCUUAAAAGGGCUGUGAAAAGAUUUGAAACAUAAUAGAAAUAGGAUGUUGCGGCAACAUUGUUGUUGCAACGUACGUUCUGAAUAACGGGCCAGAGAGUUUCUUUUUGUGGCAAGAUGAAAAUCGAAGCGAAAGCGAUUUUGUUGCAAUUUUUGAGAACAAGGGUGGUAAUACUGCCUUUAGUCACAAGGGGAUAACCCGAAACCUGGUGAUCUAUACCUGAACAAGAUGAAGCAAAGGUAAAACUUUGUGGAGGUCUGAAGUAGUUCUAGUGCAUAAGUUUAUGUGAUUUGGGUAUAGGGGUGAAAAGCCAAUCGAACUAGGUGAUAGCUGGUUUCUGUCGAAAUUGGCCUUAGUCAAGCUUUUGUUUAGAAUGUUAUAGGUGUAGAGCUACGGAUUGGUAUUUUGGGAGACUUAGGUCUUUUGAGUAUCAGUCCAACUCCGAAGUCUAUAACUUCGUUGAGACAAAAAGUCGGGAUUACACGGGGUAAACUUGUAAUCCGUGAGGGGAACAACCCAGACUAUAGUUAAGGUCCCUAAAUAUCUAUUAAGUGAUAAAGGGUAAAGGGUGUAGAUAUUCGAAGACAAAGAGGAGGUUUGCUUAGAAGCAGCAAUCCUUUAAAGAGUGCGUAACAGCUCACUCUUCGACGAGUAUUUGCCUUGAAAAUAAUCGGGUCUAAAUAGAUUACCGAUACUGUAGUUUAGAUACAAAGUAUCUAUAAGGUAGACAGAUGCUAAGCAGGAUUAGAAGCUAAUUCGUAAGGGUUAGUGGAUCUUGUUUUGAUAAGAAUUCUGGCGGUAGUAGGAGAUGAGAAGUGUAAGAAUCACUUCGGACGAAAGGGCAAGGGUUCCUCUUCAAUGUAUAUCAGAAGAGGGUUAGUCAUUCCUAACUCAACUCUUAAUUGAAUUUUGAGGAAAGGAAAACAGGUUAAUAUUCCUGUACUAUUUGAAUAAUGAUGGCAACACAAGAACCAUUUUACUAAGUUCGGGCUAGUUGAAGCAAGAUAUAUCUUGUUUAAGAAAAAUAAGACAAUGGAGUGUGGUAAUCACGAGAAGUUGUUUAAGUUUUGAAAUUUCAACGAGGUCUGGACUCAUUGAAAAUAAAAUGAUUUUAAUUUUAAAUAUAUGUACCCACAACCGGCACAGGUGCCCCUGGGUUAGAAGCUCAAGUCCUGAAGGAUUAAUCUUUGUAAGGGAAUUCGGCAAAUUAGCCACGUAUCUUCGGUAUAUGUGGUCCCUAAGAUGUUUUUUAUUUAAGGCAAUUUUAGGGUGCAAUUACUUGGACGGUCCGACUGUUUAACUAAAACAUAGGGAACUGCUAGUUCGUAAGGAUGUGUAUAGUUCCUGAAGUCUGCCCACUGCCAGUAACUAAAACUCUUUUUCAAGGGAGCCAAGGUCUGGUAAAGGGCGGGGAUAACUAUGAUCCUCUUAAGGUAGCGAAAUGCCUUGUCGUUUAAAUGACGACUUGCAUGAAUGGCGUAACGAGAUUGUCACUGUCCCUACAAAGAACCCUCUGAAUACACUAUCCCGGUGCAAAAGCCGGGGACUCCAAAUGGGAAGUAAAGACCCCGUUGAACUUUACUGCAGCCUGCUAUUGUGAAUAAUUUUGCAAGGUAACAAGGAGCUUCGGCAAAAAGGUAGUACUUGUCUUUGUUGAAUUAUUUGCUUAUCUCUAUAUGAGAAACAGUGGUUGGUGGGCAGUUUGGCUGGGAUGGCACCCUGCUGAAAUAAUAUCAGCAGGGCCCAAGGGUUGGCUCAAUCGGUUUAGAAAUCCGAUGUUGAGUGCAAGGGCAAAAGCCAGCUUUAUUGUGAUUACUACAAUACUAGUCGCAAUUAGGAAACUAUGUCCUAUCGAUCUCCAAUGUGCUUUUUAAUGAGGCCUUGGAUUGACAGAAAAGUUACCACGGGGAUAACAGAGUUGUCUCUCCUGAGAGUUCUCAUCGACGGAGAGGUUUGCUACAUCGAUGUCGGCUCAUCCUAUCCUGGCUGUGCAGCAGCAGCCAAUGGUGGGGGUGUUCACCCAUUAAAAGGGUUCGUGAGCUGGGUUCACAACGUUGUGAGACAGUUGGUAUAAUAUCUGUUUGGAGUGCAACGUAUCUGAGAGAAAGUUACAUUUAGUACGAAAGGAACGAUGUGUCGUCACCUCUGGUGUAUCUGUUACUUAUAUAGGUAUGCAGAGUAGCUACGUGAUAGAGAAUAAGUGCUGAAAGCACUCAAACACAAAGU